ensembl:snoRNA
CUGGCCCUGAAUCAAGGCUGGCAGCUGCCUGAAGCUGCUGGUUUCAAACAGGAGCCUAAAGAGAUGUCUUUCUAGGGUCUGUUGGCCAUUUCAGAACUUGGGCAGUGCAAUGGUCACUUCAUUAGAAAGAAACAGCU